rnacentral:rRNA from 1 species
UACAGAGGUGGCAAGCGUUGUUCGGAAUUACUGGGCGUAAAGGGCGCGUAGGCGGUUCGUUAAGUCCUGUGUGAAAUCCCCCGGCUCAACUGGGGAACUGCACAGGAAACUAGCGGGCUUGAGUUCGGGAGAGGGAAGCGGAAUUCCGGGUGUAGCGGUGAAAUGCGUAGAUAUCUGGAGGAACACCCGUGGUGAAGACGGCUUGCUGGACCGUGACUGACGCUGAGGCACGAAAGCGUGGGUAGCAAACAGG